rnacentral:lncRNA from 1 species
CUGCUCUUAAGAUGAAAACACUCUGCACUUAUGCCCUUAUAAAAAUAUGUCCUUUAUUUUUACACUAGACAUGGAGUCCUAACCAAUAUGUUUUUUUUUUUUUUCUAUACUUACUUAAUCCUUGGUCACAGACCUAAACCCACAGACCUGAUCUCUUGUCAACUGACCUUCAUUCACAUAGUGAUGUUCCUCACUGGAGUGGAUAUUUGCAUAACUGACAUAGUUGAGACAUUGAACGUUAAGAAUGAAUUCAAGCCCAAGGUCCCCAGAGGACACUCCAUUCUGCAGGCACCCU